GUGCUUGCUUUGGCAGCACUUAUAUUAAAAUUAGAUUGAUAAAGGGAAGAUUAACAUGACUCUUGUGCAAAGAUGACAUGCAAAUUCAUGAAGCGAUCCAUAUUUUU
ensembl:snRNA U6 U6 spliceosomal RNA